GGCGGCGUGGAUAAGACAUGCAAGUCGAGCGAGAUUUUUUCUUGUAGCAAUACAGGGAAAAGUCUAGCGGCGAACGGGUGCUUAACACGUGGGCAACCUGCCGUGAAGUGGGGGAUAGCUCGCCGAAAGGCGAAUUAAUACCGCAUGUGAUUAGAGAGGACAUCCUUUCGAAAUUAAAGUCGGGGCAACCUGACGCUUCUUGUGGGGCCCGCGGCCUAUCAGCUAGUUGGUGAGGUAACGGCUCACCAAGGCUUUGACGGGUAGCUGGUCUGAGAGGACGACCAGCCACACUGGGACUGAGACACGGCCCAGACACCUACGGGUGGCAGCAGUCGAGAAUUUUUGACAAUGGGGGAAACCCUGAUCGAGCGACGCCGCGUGGAGGAUGAAGGUCUUCGGAUUGUAAACUCCUGUCAUUGGGGAACAAGGUGCAUACGUUAACUGCGUGUGUAUUGAUAGUACCCGAAGAGGAAGGGACGGCUAACUCUGUGCCAGCAGCCGCGGUAAUACAGA
rnacentral:rRNA from 1 species